CCGACCUUAGCUCAGUUGGUAGAGCGGAGGACUGUAGAUCCUUAGGUCACUGGUUCGAGUCCGGUAGGUCGGA
rnacentral:tRNA from 1 species